GCUAAUAACAUCUUAUUGCUUUUCAGUAUUAAAUAAAAGGAAAUGAUCUGUUUAAUUACAGUCAAAGAAAUUUUGCAAUGCUAUGCUGCCUUGGAUGGUGGUAAUAAUAAUGGAAUGUAUCGAGGGUCGUGGCUACAUGGACUGAUGGCUAUAAAGGGGAUGAUUUCCAGCGAGCAGAGUCAUUGCAUGAUGCACAUCUUGUUGCUAAAGAUCAUCAGGUUAUGACAGAGCCAUCUUGGGUCGCAGUACAAACAGUGGGAAAGAUUCUACCUCAAGAGAACCCAGCUUUACCUCUGAGCACUUAAAGGAGUGUGUGAGGAGACCACUGGCAAAAAUUUAGGAUAUGAUACUGUAUGUCUUCACCCUUCUGGAUCAGUGAUGUAUUUGCACAGUUGGGAGAAAAGCAGACGAAGAAGAGCUAGCUUUGGGGCUCUUAAACCACAACGUACAUGUACAAUGUAGGCAAUCUCAGCUUGUCUGGGACACUGCUUGUCCUAGUGGAGUACUGCUAUUUAUGCAACAUAAAGUAUCUUACCAAAACUGAGGGACCAGGUGUGCCUUAAUGACAGCAGAUUGAUAGCAGGUGCUGCCCCACACACCUUAAAUAGUAAAAAGGCUCACUGGAGUUGUGACUGGGAAGAGAGCUAUGAGUCCACCUCAGAAGCAGAGAGGUGCAGAUAAUGACUCACCUUCCAGAACUGGAGAGAGACAGAACAUUGUGGGAUCUAAGGACGAGGAAGCUGUUCCAUGGCUGUGUGAUACCAGUCUUGAGGGAACUGGUGUCUGGCUACAGGUAUCUCAUGAAGAAGGGACAUGGUGGUUGAGUCUUAAGGGUACCUUUUGGAAUGGAUUAGGAUUACAGAUAACCUGUGCCGCUGUGGCUACUUCCCUAUCCCGUGAUGAACUGCAGUCCUCAGUAAAGGAAAACAUCCCGACAGUUUGUAUUCUGGGCCACUGGCUUUAUAUUACUAUUCAUGUCCUAGAACAGUUUUUUGUGAGAAUUGUGAAAGAAAUGUGAUGAAAACUGUGUUCUAGUGACUGUCUGUGGUGGUAAACCAGGGCUGAAGUCUGGGCUCAUUCAGCACGGAAAAAGGAUGGCCUUGUGAGGACCUAACAGCAGCCUGUCCACAUAUAUCAAGCAGAUGGGUCCCAGCUGUUCAUAGCAGGAGGAUGAGAGAUGGGCAGAAUCUGAAAUGAGAGGUUCAGAUGGGAUAUAAGGAAAAAUUACCCUCUGCCGUGAGGACCAUCGGGCAGCUAUGCAAGCUUCAGCCUUGGAGGACUUCAAGACCGGACUGGAUCAAGCCCUGAGCAACCUAGUUGGAUACUGUGACUGACCCUGCACUGAGCUGGAUUUAUGCUAGAGGCCUCCUGAGGUCCCUUACAAGCUGAAUUCCCUUGUCAUCUUAUUAGUCACAGGCCUUCCUCUGAGGACAACAUGAGGCACCUAGCUUGCUAGCCUGUGGGGUUUGGUUUCCAUGGUUUGUGAGGGGGAGUCCAUGUGGCUCCCUUUGGGAAAUCAGACUGCCUAGACCAUGUAGUGCGGCCUCCCAGUGGGAUGCAGCCCAUCGUGCCACCAGUGUGGGGUUGGGCAGCAGCAGGGCGGCCAUGUUGCUGCGCUGCCACCUGAGGAGGCCUGACGUGGCCUGGGGAGGUGAGCCCCUGGAAGGCAGCUGGGGGCAGCUGGUUACAGGAGGGUGCUUAGAAAUAAAUGUAGAGGUGUGUGGUAACAUCUGUACCUGUCUAGUUUUGUGGUCUAUGUCGUGUUGUUGAUAUCGACCCUGAAACAUAUAUUCUGCUUCCCGCUUAAUUACAUGUCACUAAUAAAUCAGUAAGCCCCUUUGAUCCCGCUGUGAUUUAAUCGUGUGAGCUGAGCAGGUUUUAUCUUUUUCCCAAGACAGUCACUUUCUUCUUGAUUGCUGCAUUUCGACCAGUUUGGUCGCAUCAGUGUCAGAGCAUUUUGUUGGUUCUCAUAUGGUUUUCUUCAGUGAGCACCCCCAAAACAGUUGAAGGAUGACAAAUUCUGGAGGAUAAGCUAGACUAUUGAUCCU